GAUGAACGCUGGCGGCGUGCCUAAUACAUGCAAGUCGAGCGAACAGACGAGGAGCUUGCUCCUCUGACGUUAGCGGCGGACGGGUGAGUAACACGUGGAUAACCUACCUAUAAGACUGGGAUAACUUCGGGAAACCGGAGCUAAUACCGGAUAAUAUAUUGAACCGCAUGGUUCAAUAGUGAAAGACGGUUUUGCUAUCACUUAUAGAUGGAUCCGCGCCGCAUUAGCUAGUUGGUAAGGUAACGGCUUACCAAGGCAACGAUGCGUAGCCGACCUGAGAGGGGGCUCGCCCACCAGGGACAGAGGACCGGCACCAACACCGAGAGGGAGACAAGAUCGGGAAUCCUCCGGGAGGGGGGAAAGGGUAACCGGGGAAACCCCGCGUAAGUAUUAAAGGUCUUCGGAUCGUAAAUGUUUUUUAUUAGAGAAGAAUAAAUGUUUAUUAAACUAGCAGAUUAUGAAUGUAACCUAAGAAAAAGCCCCGGCUAAAUCAGUG
rnacentral:rRNA from 1 species